rnacentral:misc_RNA from 1 species
GUGGCCAUGAAAGUCACCAAGUAUAAAAUGGAAAGGUUACCAGAACACUUACAAAAAGACACUGUAUUCAGUUUGGAUGAGAAAGAAAAGGCAGACUAUAUAUUAACCGGAAAAAUUGAAGAUGACCUGAAGCAUCCUGAAAAACUUGAUAUUCCUAAUAUGCAGAAAAGGGAAAUUGCAAACAAACUUUUAAAUUCACUAUUAGACAGUAAAUUUGAAAAGACUAAACCAAAUUCAGUACAAGAUAUGUCAGAGAGUUUAGUAGUUGCAUCUCACCAAAAGCAUACAGAAGUAAUAUCACAUGAACCAGAACACAAAGAGGUGAUAUCUUCAGAACCGGAACUUAAAGAGGUGAUAUCUUCAGAGCCGGAACAUACUGAGGUCAUCUCUUCAGAGCCAGAACAUACUGAGGUGAUAUCCUCAGAACCAGCACAUACUGAAGUGAUAUCCUCAGAACCAGAACAUAAAGAUAUUAUCUCAUCUAAACAAGACGAAAAUGUAAUAAAACAUCAGUCAAAGCAAGCUGCCUCAGAAGAGGACACUUCGUCUUCUGACAGUGAUAGUUCUGACAGUGACAGCGAUAGUGACAGUGACAGCGAUAGUGACAGUGACAAGGAUGAGGAUAAGAAAACUGACAAGGAAAAAGAACCUGAGGAAAAUCCAGGAAACGAAAAAGACAGUGAUGUUGAUGCAGACACUGAAGUAAAACCCCCAAAAGAAAUGUAAUUGUGAGUGCUUGAAUACUUGGUCCUGAAUGUUAUAUUUACCUGGAAUUUGUUUGAAUGCAAUUAUGACAGAAAAAAUUAAUAAAAAAACAUAUUAUAG